GUUUCACUCAGUCAAGGCUGCCCCGCUGCAGAGAUUUCUCUCUGCAGGAAUUCCUAUCCGAUAUGUCCUCUAAUGCAGGUCCACCUCUGGGCAGCCCAGCGAGGGGAAUUGGGAGAUGUGUCGUCUGUAGGGAAGGGGUGGGGGUAGCGUUUGAGAUGCCUGAAGUUUCUGUUCUGCCCAGAAGGGAAACACAGACCGCAAGGACCCCCAGCUCCAAGGUGCCAAGCGUCUCGGAGUGCCAGGACCAGGCCGAUUCUGGCGCGUGGGCAUCGUGGAUCAGUCAGUGGGGGCGGCGGUUUUGCCUCUCUGCAGGCGGCUCCACAUCGUUUUACCGGGGCCCGAGCCGGCCUGCCCAUCUCCCCAGUUCGCCUGGGACUCCAGUUCUGUUUGCAAAGGAGCCGCAGGUAAGCUUGUCUCAGGACAAGCGCCGGGCUGCGCGGCCAUAGCAGAAGGGAAAAGGGAAGUCCCAGGCUGCUUCGUCGGGGCGCAGUGAAUGUCUGGGUACCGGCCAGAGAAAGUGACCUUUGCACCUCGCAGGCCUCCAGACCUCCCGGCAGCACGUCCCCAAAAUGCCCUCGCCUGUGUGUUUGUCCCUGUACGUUUCUCCCCAAACGGGCGCCCUGCUCGGGGAGGUGAUCCGAUCUGUGUCGCCCAAGAUUGGAGCAUCCCGGCGCCCCUAAAACUGCAGGCCGAGAGGGGGCAUUUCAGUUGUCUCCCCGCCCCCCGUUUUCGCAGAGAAAGCGGGGUGCAGUGAACGGGAAAUGUCUCAGGAAGGAGGCAGGAACCCGUCCCCCUGCUCCGGUUGACGCGGCCCGCCCUGGGGGCAGCGGAGGUUGCAAACCCGCUCGGCGCCCCGGGGGCGCGGGGAUCUAGCCAAGGCAAGAGAGACUGGGCGAGCUGGCUAGUCCGGGACUGGCUGAGAGUCCGAGGUGGAGAGGAGGGGAGAGCUGGCAGUGGGGACGUCCCGGCCGUGGCCCCAGAGGGACUUUGCUUCCAAAGGGAGUGUGCUGGCUCGCUGUCUUUUUUUAACCUUCCUUUUUCGAAAAUAUCUGUUUUUAGUCAAGGUACCAGGGAGACGGGCAUCGUGUGGAUUCCCUCCGGGCUUCUCUAGGAUGGCCCGCGGGGAACUUCCUAGGACUGUGUGUGUGUGUGUGUGUGUGUGCGUGCGUGUGUUUGUCCCUCCAUAAUUUCCCUCUUUAAAAAAAAAAUCUCUGGGGCAUUUUCAGCUGAAAGUGCUUUUGCCUUGCUGAUUUAAAAAUACAAAUAAAACCAGCGCUGGACGCA
rnacentral:lncRNA from 1 species